rnacentral:lncRNA from 1 species
AACCCCAUAUCCAUCCCCAUCUAACCCCAUCUAACCCCAUAUAACCCCCCAUAGAUACCCAGCAGCGCCACCCAGUGGUCACACUCUGUAAUUACACCCCUACCCCCCCCAACCAAACCCCAUAUCUGACCCCCUAUACAACCCCAUAUCUGACGCCCUAUACGACCCCAUAAAUGACCCCACAUCCCAUAAUUUCCCCCCCUAGGGAGGUGCAGCUGACGGAGGACGCAGUGCGGCGCUACCUGGCCCGGAAGCCGAUGACCACCAAGGAUCUGCUGAAGAAAUUCCCGGCGCGGCGCACGGCGCUGAGCUCGGAGCAGACGGUCAACGCUUUGGCACAGAUCCUAAAGCGGCUCAACCCCGAGAGGAAGGUGAUAGGGGACAAGAUGCACUUCUUCCUCAAGGAGUAAUUUGGGGGGGGGCCUGGAAAUGGGGGGGGGAACAAAUGGGGUCUGAAGAUUGGGAAUCUCCAAUGGAAAGUUGAUGGAAACCCUAUGGAACCCAAUGGGACUCAAUGGGCACCCUAUGGGAACCCAAUGGAAUCCAAUGAAAGCCCUAUGGGAACCCAAUGGAACCUAAUGGAAACCCAAUGGAACUCAAUGGAACCCAAUGGAACCCUAUGGAAUCCAGUGGAACCCAAUGGGAACCCAAUGAAACCCAAUGGAACCCUAUGGGAACCCUAUGGAACCCAAUGGAACCCUAUGGAACCCAAUGGAACCCUAUGGGAACCCAAUGGAACCCAAUGGGAGUCAAUGGGAGUCAAUGGGAGUCAGCCCCAUGAGGAGGG